CUGCUCAGGACGAACGCUGGCGGCUUGCUUAACACAUGCAAGUCGAACGGAAAGGCCUGCAGCUUGCUGCGGGUACUUGAGUGGCGAAUCGGCUGAGUAACACGUGGCUGAUCUUCCUUGCACUUCGGUAUAAGCUUGGGAAACCGGGUCUAAUACGCGGAUAGGCCAGCUGUCUAGUGUCAGUUGUGGAAACUUUAUUCGGUGCAAGAUGAGCUCGCGGCAUAUCAGCUUCUUGGUGGGGUAAUGUCCUACCUAGGCGUCGACGGUUAGCCGCCCUGAGAGGGUGUCCGGCCACAUUGUGAUUGAGAUACCACCCAGACUCAUACGGGAGGCAGCAGUGGAGAAUAUUUCACAAUGGGCGGAAGCCUGAUGCAGCGACGCCGCGUGGGGGAUGAAGGCCUUCGGGUAGUAAACUCCUUUCGACAGGGACGAAGCUUUUGUGACGGUACCUGUAUAAGAAGCACCGGCUAACUACGUGCCAGCAGCCGCGGUAAUACCUAGGGUGCCAGCGUUGUCUGGAAUUACUGGGCGUAAAGAGCUGGUAGGUGGUUCGUCGCGUUGUAUGUGAAAUUCCGGGGGUUAACUCCGGGAGUGCCGUCGAUACGGGCUGACUUGAGUGCUGUAGGGGAGACUGGAAUUCCCGGUGUAGCGGUGAAAUGCGCAGAUAUCAGGAGGAACACCGAUGGGGAAGGCAGGUCUUUGGGCAGUAACUGACGAUGAGGAGCGAAAGCCUGGGUAGCGAACCGGAUUAGAUACCCUGGUAGUUCAUGCCGUAAACGGUGGGCGCUAGGUGUA
rnacentral:rRNA from 1 species